rnacentral:rRNA from 2 species
GUACGUGAACCUGCGGAAGGAUCAUUA